rnacentral:misc_RNA from 1 species
UCCGGCUUAUCACCGGCAGUCCCACUAGAGUGCCCAACUGAAUGAUGGCAACUAAUGGCAAGGGUUGCGCUCGUUGCGGGACUUAACCCAACAUCUCACGACACGAGCUGACGACAGCCAUGCAGCACCUGUGCAUCGGCCCCGAAGGGAAGACGGCUUUCACCGCCAGUCCAAUGCAUGUCAAACCUAGGUAAGGUUCUUCGCGUUGCGUCGAAUUAAACCACAUGCUCCACCGCUUGUGCGGGCCCCCGUCAAUUCGUUUGAGUUUCGGCCUUGCGACCGUACUCCCCAGGCGGGGCACUUAAUGCGUUAGCUACGGCACCGGAGGGGUCGAUACCCCCGACACCUAGUGCCCAUCGUUUACGGCGUGGACUAC